rnacentral:tRNA from 1 species
GUACCCGUAGCUCAGUUGGAUAGAGCGUUGGCCUCCGAAGCCAAAGGUCGCGCGUUCGAAUCGCGCCGGGUGCACCA